AUGCAAAUGCCAUCAAAAGGACUUUUCCAAGGCUUGUAAUGAGGCUGAGCUAACAAGAAAAAUUGGUUUUUUUGGAAUGCAAAAUCCUUGAGUUAAGAGAGCUACCAUAGUAUUCAACAUUUAAGUACAACUCUCUUCCUCACCAAUCCCACUCAUUCCCAACUUUUUUUUUCUUUUUUCUUUUCUUUUGCAUUGAGCCCGUCUUCAUGCUUUUUCCUCUUAUCUUUUCUUUUUCUCAUGUAUUUUUCUUUCACAACUUUUGAGCUCAAUGCUUUUCAAUUGCCUUUCAAUUUCCCCCAUGCAACCCCAAACUUGAACCUUUUCAUCACAUACAAGUAAGCUCAUCCCAACUCAAGGUAAGGAAUUUCAAGACAAGGGUUCACAUCCUGUUUAAGGCUAAGGUUCAAAAAGGGUAUAAUAUUUUCAAGCACUUUGGGUGAAAAUUUGGCUAGAGAAGGGUUUUCAAAAUUGGCCUUGAUCAUAUGACAUUCACAUGCAAUUCCAUCAAUCAUCAAAAUUAAGGCAAUAUCAUUAAUGCUUUCCAGUGAACAAUAAAUACAACAAUGAAAACUCUGGAGCUCAAUACCUCACACAACAUGUUUUCUCACACAAUAUUCAUUCAUACGCCCUGCUUAGCAUCAUAACCACAAUCGUAAUUCAUCACCCAUCUGUUUCACAGAAUAUCAGCAUGCAAUGCAACUCAAUUAUCAUUCACAUCAAAUCCUCAUCAAAUAAAAUCAUCAUGCAAAUUAUUCAGUCAAACAUCUUCAGAAAAAGUAUUCAAGCCAAGCAUACACACGAAAAAUAAAAUUCAACCUAUUCUAAGAAUUUAAAUGCAAAGGUAAAAGAGAGAAUCUAGGGUGCCUCCUAGUAGCGCUUGUUUAACGUCACGAGUCUGACCCAAACCUGUUUAGCACUUGUCAGUAAGUGCAAAUUCAUCCAACACCCAUCAGUAGGUGUACCUUCCUGUGUUCUUCAGUAAUUCCAUAAAAUUUAGCAUCCCCCAGUAGAUGUCACCCAAAAAUUGUUCCAAAAAUUCAAAAAUUUACAAGUUCAACAAAAACAUAAAACCAAUAAAAAUGUCUGAAAAUACAAAAAGUGCUCUCUAGCAAAUCAACUCUUCUUUUUCAUGUUGGGAUCUUCAUCGUCCCAGUUGCUCAACUUUCUUUUAUCCACUCUUCGAAUUGCUGUGGAGUAAGGCCUUCUGAUCUCUACCACUCCCUCCUCCUUAAGCUUCCUAUUCACUAUCCAUUUCCUAUUUUUAAAUCGCACUAACAUGCCACGCAGAAAUAGUGUGUCCUUUGAGUGGAUUGAUUCCUCUAUGCUUGCCUUCUUUUCCUCAACAAUCUAUAAAACAUUACAAUUGUUAUGACAAUCAAUACCUAUGGUGUUUUCCUCUUUUGCAGCUUCUCUUCUGGCCCUUUUGUAUUUUGCUCUUCUUAUUGCUCUCAUUUUGGUUUCCUC
rnacentral:lncRNA from 1 species